UCAUUUCUUUUUCUAACGAAAACCCAUUUGUAUCCAACCGGUCUCACAUCUUUAGGUGUGAGUACAAUAGGUCCGAAUACAUUUCGCUUAUUGAGCGAAUCAAGUUCGACUUGUAUUGCAUCUUUCCAUUUUAUCCAGUCAUGUCUCUUUUGACAUUCAUAUACCGACUUUGGUUCUGGAUCCUCGUUUUCCUCAUCAAUUUCUUUUGCUACGAGGUAUGAGAAAACGUCAUCGACUUCAUCCAUUUUAUUUCGAUCCCAGAUCUUUCCAUUAUGGAU
rnacentral:lncRNA from 1 species